rnacentral:rRNA from 1 species
UACGGAGGAUGCGAGCGUUAUCCGGAUUUAUUGGGUUUAAAGGGUGCGUAGGCGGACUGUCAAGUCAGCGGUAAAGUACGGGGGCUCAACCUCCGCCCGCCGUUGAAACUGACGGUCUUGAGUGGGCGAGAAGUAUGCGGAAUGCGUGGUGUAGCGGUGAAAUGCAUAGAUAUCACGCAGAACUCCGAUUGCGAAGGCAGCAUACCGGCGCCCAACUGACGCUGAAGCACGAAAGCGUGGGUAUCGAACAGG